UACGAAGGGUGCUAGCGUUGUUCGGAAUUACUGGGCGUAAAGCGCGCGUAGGCGGCUUCUCAAGUCAGGGGUGAAAUCCUGGGGCUCAACCCCAGAAUUGCCUUUGAAACUGUGAAGCUGGAGUGUCGGAGGGGAUAGCGGAAUUGCUAAUGUAGAGGUGAAAUUCGUAGAUAUUAGCAGGAACACCGGUGGCGAAGGCGGCUAUCUGGACGACAACUGACGCUGAGGCGCGAAAGCGUGGGGAUCAAACAGG
rnacentral:rRNA from 1 species